AGACUCAAAUACGGAUGCAAUCAAGCAGACGUCAUUCACAAAAAGCUGACGUUUAUCCAGAACUUUAAGAUUUACAAAGCACUCUACAUAUAUCAUCUAUUUGGACAACUGAUGGCUGUUGGUGACCUUUGGACAUUUUAUCUGCGGAAAAAGGGAUUGUGUACAUCUCUACAUCAUAGAUUCAGAGCGGGAAGAAAUCCUUAGAGGUCAUGGAGCUCCCCCUCACCCCCUCAUCCUCCCACCCCCCCAAUUUUACAGGGGAGGAAACUGAGGCACAGAGAUUAAGUGACUUGUUCAGGGUCACAGGUUAUCUGUUUGUCCUUCGUUCUCAGAGGACCAUGACCUCAAGGAGGUGAUGUUAUGCCUUGCAGGUGGGGGAGGACAGUUCAAGGUCACCAGGGUCUCCCUUGCGGCCAUCUGGGGCCAGUGACAAGAUAGCGAUCAGGACGCCUGGAGAUGGCCCUGGAUGCUGUAGGAGACCUUGACCUUUUUAAGCUCAGGCUCACACAGUGUUUGAAGGAGGAUUUGAACUUAGAUCAUCGCAGCUGACUCUCAAGAAGGAGGGGUGAAUGCAGGUGGAGAGAAACUGGAGAAAGGAGGCGGGCCGGUAGCUUAUCCGACUCCUUCGCCCCGCCCCCUGGGCGGAGUCUAAGGCAAUACCCUGCGUCAGCUAGAACGCCUUUCUCACUAAGACCCGCCCCCAAGAUCUUUGGCUAAUCAUCGCACAGGGGCCGGGCACCAGUGGGUGACGUCAUCCUGACGCGCUACUCCACGGCGACCAUCUUUAUUCCUGGUGGCCGCUAUUUGAGGCCUGCGACGGUACUUCUACUUGAGUUGCUGGGCGAGCCGCCACCGCAGCACCGACUCUACGUCAUCAGGGGAGGCGGCGCUCGCUGCAAAAGGCUAAGGGCGAAAGGGAGAGGGAAGCUGGUGCAGGGGAAGGCCCCGGAAGUGGGAGUUCCGCUUGACUGAGGGGUGGGGCCAAAAAAUCUGUUUACGACCGGCUGGUUGUUUUUCGCAGGCUCUGUUUUGAUCUGGCGCAUGCGUACUUACAGCUUCCCAAGGACCAACUCCGGAGGGGGGCGGGCCGUUGCUAUGGUGAUGGAUGCUCUCGAAAUUCCCUGGGGAUCCGCGUGCUGAUCUCGGAUGCUGCUCGUGGGCUGGACAUUCAAGGAGGGAUGGUAACAGAAAACCAAGAUAAUACCAGUUCUGAGAAGGAGGAACACUUCUAUCAAGAUAUAUUCACAAUGAAAAAGCAGUGCCAAGGCAAUAGAAUCCAAAUCUUCGACAGAUAACUUUUCCAUGCAGAGGAUGGAUGUUUCACGGAUAAAGCACAAAAGGAAAUCUUAAAUUGGUAUAUAAAUUAUGUGAGCACAAUUUAGUUUGCUUAAAAAAAGUUAAAGGUAUGAUUCCUGUGAAAACAGUGGGUGGUAGACAAAAAUUGGAGGCCAUAUGAAAUCAGCACAAAUAAUAUUUAUAAGGUUUAUACGGUAUGAAAUUAAAAAAAAAACAAACAA